rnacentral:autocatalytically_spliced_intron from 1 species
GUGCGCCAAGAAAAGCGUUUAGAAUACAGUUGGUCAACCUAGGCAAAGUCUAGCCAAUAGCCUAGAACAGACCAUUAUGGUGCGUAAGGUAACGAGCGUAUCAAAGCUAAUGGAAUGGACAACACAGGGUGCAACGAAAGUGAAGGUAUUGAGUCCCGAAAUUUGUUAUGACAUAGAGGUUGACAUUUUCCAUGAGAUGGAAGACAGCAUGAAGGGUAACAACAAGGCAAGUUAUCACUCACUCUAUCGGGAUCUGAGGCCGUGUCAUGUGUUGAAAUGGAUUCUAAGUGAACUUGGGAGAUCCUUUGUAUUCCUAAAAGGUGCUCUGGAACAAGUCAAUAAAGGCAAGGACUGGAGGAAG